rnacentral:rRNA from 1 species
CACGAACGCUGGCGGCAGGCUUAACACAUGCAAGUCGAGCGCAGGAAACUGACGGAACUCUUCGGAGGGAAGGCAGUGGAAUGAGCGGCGGACGGGUGAGUAACACGUAAGGAACCUGCCUCAAGGAUUGGGAUAACUCCGAGAAAUCGGAGCUAAUACCGGAUAGUUCAACGGACCGCAUGGUCCGCUGAUGAAAGGCGCUCCGGCGUCACCUUGAGAUGGCCUUGCGGUGCAUUAGCUAGUUGGUGGGGUAACGGCCCACCAAGGCGACGAUGCAUAGCCGACCUGAGAGGGUGGUCGGCCACACUGGGACUGAGACACGGCCCAGACUCCUACGGGAGGCAGCAGUAGGGAAUCUUCCACAAUGGACGAAAGUCUGAUGGAGCAACGCUGCGUGAGUGAUGAAGGUUUUCGGAUCGUAAAACUCUGUUGUAAGGGAAGAACACGUACGAGAGGAAAUGCUCGUACCUUGACGGUACCUUACGAGAAAGCCACGGCUAACUACGUGCCAGCCGCCGCCGUAAAAC